rfam:Fusarium oxysporum f. sp. cubense tropical race 4 54006 unplaced genomic scaffold supercont1.2, whole genome shotgun sequence.
UCCUGAUGAACCCUUUAGAUGACGAGUCUUAUACGAGUUUUCGAUGCAGACACAAUCUUAUUUUACCAUUCAUGCAUUUCCUGACA